rnacentral:tRNA from 1 species
UGAAUAUAAGCUCUGUUGUAGCUUUUGGUUGUUAACCAUAAAGGAAUAAGUAAAUUUAUAUAUUCAG